CCUUGGCAACACACCGGAAAAUAGCUAACUACCUGCUUUAAUGGGCAGCAAAAUGUGACUUGGUGAUACGCAUGAUAGAGAUGGAGCUGUCUGAAGAAACUGGGACAACCUCAGCCUUAGGAGGAAAAGACUGAACCUUGGUUUUUAGGCAACUGAGAGGAAUUGAUGAGGAACAAGCUAGGAAAGUGAAGAGAAGAAUGGGCAUGGGAGUGAAGGGUGGAUGCUGUCAGAUUUGAGUGAGGGUAGCCAAUCUCUGCUUUUCCUCCAGCCACAGAACAGAAGCAGUGAAGGAGGAAGUGCCUGACUGGUGACUGGUGCCAUAAAGAGCCAAAGAGGGAGCUGGCAGCUCCUCAUGGAGCUGAAGGCAGGACAUAGCAUGGAGUCUGAUUAUAAAGAAUUUGUGGAAGGGAUUUACUACCGAAAUCAAACCAUAGUGCACUUGUGUCCUGUAGAAGUGUUUGUUCUUCUGAACUAAAAAGACAAGUGUAAGUAUCUGAGAUACUCCAUCCAGUUACCCUAAAGGACAGACAUUCCUCUUAAUUUUUAUGACCUUCAGAAAUGUCCCAUACUAACACUGGUGAAUGAAUGCAGGUGCUCAGCUAUUUACUUCAUGUUGAUCCUUAUCUCCAGCUUCUGGUCUCCCACACUUUUCAGCUAAAGAUGUUUCUCUCAAGAUGGUGCUGCACAGAGAUGUUUCUUUGCUACUGUCUUUUCUGCAGCAUGGAAGAAGCAGUAGAGAAGUACUGUUUUGGGAUGUGAAUAUUCACAUUACCAUCAGGCUUCACUACAGAAAAGAUCUGAGACUUUUGAUCCUGAGCUCCGCUUUCACUAUGAGGAAGGCUGUAAUUCCCAAAACACCUGGAGACAAAUCAGCCAAGUUUCUUAUGUCAGUCCUGUGCAUGUUGCAGGACUUCUGUGAGCCUGGAAUAUGGCAUUUACCUUCGCUGUGAAAUCUAUUCAGAUCUGCCUUCACUCACCAAAAGUCAGUUUUCAACCACUGUGAUUGCAAGGGAAUCCUGAACAAAGACUGAUGCACUGGUAUUUGCUACCUGAAAAGUGGCUCUCUAAGCUACUCUACUCACCUUAGCAGGUAUCUGAGUGUUAUUGCCUUGUGGUGACAAUGAAAUGUUGGUUAAUUUUAGGGAGAAAAACCAAGUAGCUUGUUUAUCUUCCUUAUCCCACUGUCUCUCUCUCCCUCACAGCUGUCCUCAUUCCAGCUCUAUCUCCUUUUGAUAAUUCUGAAAUACUGUAAUAUUUUUUCAACCUAGUUUUGCAGCACACUGAAGUUUCAAAAGUGUGAAGAACUGAUAAACCAAAUCUCACUUCUGCAUAGAAAUAUUACUUUACCACCUUUCUCAAAUGUAUGCUUAGUUCAG
rnacentral:lncRNA from 1 species